GGGGACAAUUUGCAACCUGAGGAUGUUCAUCUCUUCGACCGAUACCCUUAUUUUGGUGGUGGUGCUGAUCUGCUUGACAGGCACAGAGACAUGCGGCUUGAUGUGGAUAAUAUGUCUUACGAGGAAUUAUUGGCAUUGGAAGAACGAAUAGGAGACGUAAGCACCGGACUGAGUGAGGAAACAGUUCUGAAGUGCCUGAAGCAGCGGAAAUAUG
rnacentral:misc_RNA from 1 species